GGGAUGUGAUGAGCGGUCAAAGCUCGCAUUUAAACAUGCGAGAUGGGUGCCCGGCCCAAAGCCUGGUUACGACAACCCGGGCGCUCCCAUAUUUACCAAUCUGAUCCC